UACGGAGGAGGCAAGCGUUAUCCGGAAUUAUUGGGCGUAAAGCGUCCGUAGGGGGCUCUUCAAGUCUGCUGUCAAAGUGUGGGGCUUAACCCUGCAAAGGCAGUGGAAACUGAAAGGCUAGAGAGCCGUAGGGGUAGAGGGAAUUCCCGGUGUAGCGGUGAAAUGCGUAGAGAUCGGGAAGAACAUCGGUGGCGAAAGCGCUCUACUGGGCCGCAACUGACACUCAGGGACGAAAGCUAGGGGAGCGAAUGGG
rnacentral:rRNA from 1 species